rnacentral:lncRNA from 1 species
CAGAGAACGUGGAUCUUUCUCAGUUCCCGUCGUCAGAUAUUGAGUUAAAACUGAAGUUAAUUGGUUCCUAGAUUUCUUUGUUUAGGUCUCACAAAUCACCCAAAAAAUGGUGCAGCGAGAAUCGCCCUCUUCUACAGCGCAAGUUAUAUGCACAUUUUGCGUCCUCUUGCUGAUUUGUGAGGUUUCCAGGGCAGACUUCGGAAGAAAAUCCGAGGAAAUCGCAAGGAAUAUCUGUCUUUUAGCUGAACCCCGUCUAAUCCGGAUGAAAAUUCAAUGGUCAAUUUUUGCAAGGAACACCCUACCCGAGCUAUUUGCUGGAAGUCUGAUUGGAGACAAAAAAUUCCUCUUCCAGAAUGUAUUAUCAGAAUCCGUCGUCAAGUAGGAUUUCGAAUACUGAGGGGAAUAUUUAUUCAUUUCUACACGAAAACGUUGUAAAAUAAGAGUCGAUAACCUGAAAGCUGACAAUUUGUUACUCUCACUACUAUUCCUCCCACCAUUUUACCGAUCAUCAAGCAUUCCACCCUAAGAGGUGGGGGCGGUUGAUUCUAUUUUUAUUCCUUAUCUGCAGCUUUACAGGUCCUUACUGCAACCCAUUUAUUUUCAGUCGAACUGUUCAGAACUACAAGUGCGUCGAACUUUUAAUUCGAAUAUUAUAAAGUCUUUGAUUUGUAUCAUAACAAGCGACCGGAGCAGUUCCCUCUUCUUGGCCAAUAUUCUACUUCGCGAAGUAACAAACGUGGUACAAACGCGGUUGUACCAGAAUUGACAACACUACUUGAGGAUUAAUCAGGAUUAAUACAGGGUAUUCUUAAAUACGGGUCGGAAGUUCAUAAAGGUGCAGCCAUCAAACGAUUUUAAAAGGAAAGUGUUGUGAAUUAUUUCCUAGCAAAAC